CCGGUGAUGGAGUGUAAUGAAACUCCCGUCUCCAGACGGGGACUGCAGAAAGUACACCCGCCCGGUCAUCCAGUUUUUAACUGGCCUGAGCUGCCUACCCAGGGCCGCCUAACGACCACAGCCAAACACGGCAGUGAAUUGGGUUUUGAACGUUCCAGGCCGUUACAGACGGGCACACACCAACCCUAUGGGCAAGCGCUGCUACCCUCCUCUGUGCAGGCGCGCGCGCUGCGGGGAGAGCGCGGGAGUCACUUCUCAAGACCCAGAGCUAGCAGAGGCGGGGCUGAUGGAAGCCCGGGUCUGACGGACAGGCCCAGCGGAGCUGCGCUCCCGCCCUUGCCGGGGGCUGGGGGGAUGGGGAGACGCCCCUGGGGCCCCGCCCACCCCCCGCGCGUCCCCGUCGCCUUCGGCCCCCGGCGCGUGGCCGCGCUCGGCCGACUGAGUGGCCCGAGGCCAGCUCGCCGUGCACGGGCCCGCCGCCCGCAGAAGGCGCCCGCUGGGGCGGAAAUCUUGGGCCCGCUCUGCCUCUCGCUCCCGACGGGACUCCGUUCCGGCCUCAGUUUCCUAUCUGUGUAAAUGACGUCAACCAUGUUUCUGCACCACCCAGCGAAAGGUGAACGCUGCGGACACAGCCUGAAAUUUCUUUGAAGUCUCCUAUUUUCAGCUAAAAGAAUUCCUAGAGUUUUAUAUUCUCCAUCAUUAUUUGUUUCAAUAAGAAUUUUACAGUUUUUAAUUUAAAAAGGAGUAAAAUUGCCACCCAAGAAAAAUAGUCUGUGCUUUAUCUUGUGGUUGAGUACCCCUGUUUGAGACACCCAAGGAAGUUCUGGACGGCCCUUUCUCUUCCCAUUGGUCUGUGGAUCCGGUUCCUUGUGGUUAUUCUUUAUUCUUCCCGUUAAGACCAUCACAGUCUCAGCAAUGACAGGUGGGGUGGGGGAAAGCCUGGAUAUUCGGUUCGAAUUCCCUGUUCUGCCGUUUCUUGCCGCUGGGACCUCGGCCAAGCCAUGUAAACUUGCCGAGCCUCAGUCCCCCGUCUGUAAAACGAGGAGAACGUUCCUCGAGGGGUUGCGGCGAGGAUCGGGGGCGCAGGUCCGCCCGGGCGCGCGGGCUCAGCGAAGGCGGCCAGCACCGAGCACCCGGCGGGAACCUAGGGUCGCAGGGCGCGCCGCUCCCCCUGCGCCUCGCUGGCCCGGAGCGCCCGCCCGCGAGCCCCGCCUCCCCGCGGCGCCGUCCACACAGCAAGCAGCCGGCGGAGGCCGGCCUUGUAUGGACAGCCGCUGGAGGCCGGGCCGCGGCGGGGGAGGCCGCCAGCGGCGCUGUGGGCGCCAGAGGAUCUGAGAACAAACCCACACCUGCGGGAAAGAGGCGCCGGAACGCCCCCUCGGAUCGCGGAUCGCUGACCGCGGCCGGAAGGCGGCCUUGGGGACCCGCCCACGCGCCCCGGCCCCCUGGAGAGGCUGGCAGGGCUCCGAGGACUCUCGGAUUCUUGCCAGGCCAGGCCUGCUGCCGCCCAGACCCCGCCGUCCUCGGGUCACCUGGGGGGGCGCGACUUUGCGGCUGGGAGCGAGAUCGGGAUCCUACACGAAGAGGGGAAAGGGAACCCCGCCAUAGGAGCACCAACUACGUGCUAGGCACUGUGCCUGGCUUCUUUAACUGACUUCUCACGCCACGCUUUGAGGAAGAGAGUCCCGUUUUUCAUCUGGGAAAACCGGUUCAGACGGGCCAAGUCACGUGCCCAAGACCACAAAAGCCUGUCGGUGGAACAGCUGGGAUUCCAGCACGACUCAUGCUCGGGCCUUGCCGCCCAAAGGCGCCGCCGGGAGGCGCAGGGGGAGGCGCGGGGGCGGCGUGAGGACCCCGCAAUUUCAGGGCGCCGCCCCCGCACGCGUUUUCCCUCCCCGCCGGCGGGCGGUGCACAGCCCCCUCCAGUCCUACCUGUCAGCUGAUUCGCUGCUGCCCCGCCCGCUCGCCUGAUGGAGCAGCCGGAAGUCGCACGCCCGGUGACCGCUGACCUAGAGCCUCCAGUCGUAUCAUUGCCAAAGCCAGUGUCGCCCUGGAGGACACAGAGAUGCGCCCAGGGCGUGCGUUUCUCCUGCCUCCGCCCGAGUCACGGGGUUGCAUCCGGUCCGGGAGCAAUGGAAACUGGUCCAGCCGCCGGUUCCCGGCAGGUCCCCGCCCACGCCCACCCCGCGGAGGCCCCAGCAGGUUGCUUCACUUUCCCUGGCCCAGCUCUUGCCGGAGGCGAGGAAGGGAAGCUGGUUGCUCAACCUGACGGAGCAUUGUUCUGGUUCUCAUGUGACUUGUCGACCAGCUAUCAGCCAGGAACUCCCCGUGUGGUUGGCAGUGCAAGCGCUUCAUACCCAUCUUACAGAUGAGGAAGCCGACUCGGACACAGUAAUGGGAUCGUCCAUGUCUGGCAAGUUUUCCAGACCAGGACCCUGAAGAGGAGUGGCCUCAUGAAAUAGGGGAGAUAGUAUGACCUUGGCCUGCCCUCCCUGAAACCCUAGAUGACUGAUUCAAACUGAACUGUCUGGGGAACUUCCUUUGACCUAAAUCCUGUCCGCCAUACCCUGAGCAGCAGCCAGAAAAUACAAACAGCCACACCCUCUGCAUUGCUGCCUCAACUUGCACUUCAUGCCGGGGGGUGUCUCAUUCAAGGACGAUGUUUAAAAAAGGGAAUAAUAUAUGCUAAUUGGACACCUACUAUGUGCCAGCCACCACACCAGGCAUGCUCAUGCAGGUUAUCUCAGCCUGUGUGAGCUGUCUUAUGUGGGCAGGGAAAGGAGGAGGAAGCGGAACAGGACGAGGAGGAGGAAAGAAUCAGUUUACCCCAGCUGCUCUCCGUAAUCUGACUUGACACAUGCACAGAUAACCCUGAGCGUUCCUUCUAAAAUGCAGAUAUACUGAUGUUGCCCCAGCUCCCUUGCUUAAGACCUCUCAGUAGUCUCCCACUGCUUUGUACAAAGUCCACACUGUAGAAAGGCAUGCUCAGCUGGCCACUUGAUCACAUCUGCAUUGCCCACAUCUCCUGGCCUUUGCACAUUAAGGGUCAGGGACCAUGCUCUGUCCUUUGUCCUCAGCAUCAAGCACAGUGUGACUCAUAAAGUCAUUCAAUAAAUGUUUACUGGAUGGAUGAGAAAAGGUUGAGCAUGAAAAUUAUCCCCGUUUAACAGAGGGGAAAACCAAGUCUCAAAGAGGGCAGAAUGCCUGUCUGUCAGACAGCGGGCAAGGGGCGAGUCACGCCGCUGUUGAAUCCAUCUCAAUCCAUCAGGCUGGUUUCACUAUUCCACUCACACGGAAGGUAACACAGCCUCCUUCUGAGUUUCCUCAUCGAAGUUGUUCCUAGCACUGUCUUUCAAAAUCGCACAGAAACACAACCCAGGUCCUGAUACGGUUCUGACUUUAGGUGCCUGAGACAUAGGAUACCUCAUGGCAUCUUAGGGAGGCCGACACCAUCAUGUCUAUUUAUCAGAAGAGGAAGCUGGUUCAGAGAGGCUAAGUGAUUUGCCCAAGAUUCCACAGCCUUCCAACCCACGUCAGUCUCUGACUCCUAAGCCCAGGUUCUUCCCACCUCCCCAGGCAGCCUUCUGACGUGGGGGCGUGGCCUUACGCCCCAGCGGGCGCCAGUUCUCCCUCCACGGGAUACCGAUGAGACUCCGUCGCCUGUCAGCAGCCUCUGCGGUUGGCCCAGGUGUCAUUCCAAUGCUGGCGUUUUUCUCUGGCCACUCUUCCCUUCUCCCCUUGGGCUCCAGCAUCUGCACUGGCUCCACCUCUGGAGAAAAGACAGGGCAUGGCAAGCCGCCGCUGUUCCUUAUGCUCAGGAACCGGCCCCCUUGAGAACCUCGCAGGUAGGGGCCGACCCUCCCAUUCUCGGGUGUCUCAACAGACGAACUAUUGAGCAAUUACACACGCCCUUGACCGCAGCUCCCACAACCUUUCCUGACUCCUAGGAACUGCUCCCCGACUCUAGGGUCACCCCGAGAGUUUUCUUAAGGUGCUGUCAUUGAUUGAUUUGUUCAAAGACUAUUUGAGCAUCUAGUACAUGCCCAACAGAGCUCUUUUGGCUAACAGUGUUCCCCUUGGAGGCCUGGCACUACGUCAGCUGUCUGAGAUGAGGAAGUUCCCCGGACCGUCUAGACCAGACAAGAAGUGCCGUGAGCGCAGGGGCUGCAUCUGGCUUGUCUGUCCCUCUGUACCAUUGCCUAGAGCCCGAGGCCCUUAUUAAGGAUUUGUUGAAUGACUGAAUAGCUAAAUAGGAAAGAUCCAUUCAUCUCUUAAAAGUUGCUUCCAAUCAUCCACUUAGAGAUAGGAAUCACGGCACGUUAGAGUCAAAAGGGACCAGAGAGGAAAAAAAACCUACUUUAAUGCCUCAUUUUACAGAAAGGGAGAGCCAGAGAAGGAAGAUAUAGAGUUCACGGCAGAGUCUAAAGUACAACUCAGGCCUCCUGACGUUUGCCUGAGCGCCUUCUCGGUACUGGAACCCCGCUCCAAACCAUACACGCUUCUCCUCCAAUUCUCACAGCAGCCCUCUGGGGCCUGGUGCAGGGGAGGAAAAGCAUUACCACUGCCAGAGAGCAGAAGAGAAGCCUGGGGCUCCCAGAGGGGACGUGGAGUCUACCCAAGUCACACAGCCAGAACCUUGGGCUUUCUCAUGCCGCCCAGGCUAAGAGCUCAUUCUCCCCCAGUCUCUCUCUCUCCAGUUCCCUCCUUUUAUGAGCCUUCAAAGAGAUUUGAAAAGAUAGGUGGGCCCUACAGUUGCAAAGACUUUCAUCUUUAUUAUUCGUUCCACUUCUGGAAGGUUUGGUCAACCUCUCUGCCCAGUGCAAAACAUUAAUGCCAUUCAGGUAUUCAAAGCUGUCAUCUCUUCAUAAAGGGGGCUGGUGGCCCAAACGCUUGUCUCAGAUGGCAGAUGUUCUCAAAUGACGCUGAGGACAGCUUCCACUUUUUCUGGAGACACAGUGGGGACCAGGGGUCUCUGGAAGACUAUUAGAGCCCAUCUCAAAUGGACUCCAUCCACACCAGGUCCCUCUGACCACAGGCUCAUCCAGGCCACAGGUCCUGCCUUCCCCAUCAUGGCUGGUGCCACCUCAGCAGCCACAUGCUCUGGAGAUGGUGAGGGAAGGUCUUACAAGGAGGCCAGGCAUCUUAGGGAAAAAAGAAGAAAAAAGGCCAAAUGAGCAAGGGUGGCAUGUUGUCCCCUUCUGACAUCACACUCGAGUGACCUGCAGCGAAGAUUCUUAUCUCCGGGCGGAGCAGCUCAGUUACUCAGGAAUGAACAGCUAAAGCACUUCUCUUUCUCGAAGAACAGGGGUAGGGUCAGCAUGCCAGCAUCCUGGGCCAUGAAUUAGAGAUAAUUUACAACUUUCCUGAAAAAUAAAGUGUCC
rnacentral:lncRNA from 1 species